AAAAUGACAUUAGACAUCGCACUUUAGACAUCGGUUAGAAAUACCCCUGAUGUUAAAAGUAUAUCUUACAUCAAAUAAAUCAAAAACGAUGUCUAUUAACAAUCUAAACAUCAGUUAUUGUUAAAAAUGAUGUCUUAUUCCCAGUUUCAAAAAAUGAAAAACAACCCGCUCAUUAUUCCCCCUUAUUACAGAUAUAUUCCUCCUUAACCAAAUUUUAUUUCCCACCUUCACCAAAAUCUUAUUUCCCCUCUUUCUUUCUUUUCUUCUCGGCUAUGUCUCUCGAGUCUCGACUGACGACUUUCUCGACCCUCUCUCUCUUUUUCGACUCUCUCGACUCUCUCUUCUCCCACCUCUACUCUCCCUAUCUCGUCUAUCUGGUCUCUCUCACACCAUCGAUCUUGCUCCGACAUUCAUAUAGUAGUUAGGGUUCAAUUGGGUAAACCCUAAUUUGUUUCUAUUGGAGACACAACUCGAAGAAAUUAGCAACUUGAAGCAAUUAGUAGAUUGAAACUCAGCUCUGAGAAACGCAACCUGCAAAUUAUAAGUUCGAUUGGGUUUAAGGGUUUGAUUGGUUCAAUUGGGUUUUAGGGUUCUUUUCCGAGUCUCCAUCUUCUUUUUCAAGGGAACCAAAUCAGAGAUGCCAUGGUCAUUGCAGUAUAUUUUUUUUUGUCUUGUUCACCUUGCUGUUUACGGAAUCUUUCGAUAAUAUGUUUAUGGCUGGGUCAAGAAAGUACUCUGUUUGUUUAUAUCAGAGGCUCACAGAACUAGAUGGAUUUGUUCUCUCAUUCGACCCAAAACCCAUCCCGGUCUGUCCUAAUAUUCUGCUCCUGCUAUUAGUUUCAGGCUUUCAGCUUCCUAGUACAAUUUAUAUAUGUUUUUAUAUUUGUGCGCGGUCUAAUAUUUCAUGACAACAGUUUUAAAAAACAAUGAGCUGCAGUAAAUUAAUUAAAUACUCACACGUCCAAUAUUUAUGUUCAUAGGACUUGGCUCUUUGUUUAGUCUCAAACUAGCAAACAGUUCUCUGAGACCUCUUUCUCUAACCUGGCUCUUUGUUGAGUGCACCUUCUAUUGUAGUGUGGUUAUUCUUCUCCUACUCAAGCUGCUGAUGAAGUACCUAUAGUGUCAAAUGAUAUGAUGCCUUCUGAUUUACUUCAUGCAGUUGCAAGUCAGGUUUUCUGGAUUCCAAAAAGUUAAAUGAUUAUCCUCUUUUACUAUUUCAUUAAGAUAUAAGCAUGAUUUAUAUAUGAGAGCUUGUGAUUUGACAUGGCAUAACAACUUCUCUACAGGCUCUGCUAAGGAGGCAGAGUUUCCAAAGAGAAGAGUCUCCUACUAUGUGCUGCAAGCUAGAGACAUUUGCUAGAGUUUACAAGCUAGGCCAAAAAUUUUGGCAGUAUAAUUUGAUGGAUUAAUGGAUAAUGUAAUUUUGUGUUUAAUCUGCAUUGGUUGUGUUGAUAUCAAUGUAGUUUUGAUAUUGUAUGGUUUGGAUUAUGUAGUUGGUUUCAAUAUUUGAUGAA